rnacentral:rRNA from 1 species
CACGUAGGGCGCAAGCGUUUGUCCGGAAUUAUUGGGCGUAAAGAGCUCGUAGGCGGUCUGUUGCGUCCGCUGUGAAAACUCGGGGCUUAACCCCGAGCCUGCAGUGGAUACGGGCAGACUAGAGGUAGGUAGGGGGAGAAUGGAAUUCCCGGUGUAGCGGUGAAAUGCGCAGAUAUCGGGAGGAACACCAGUGGCGAAGGCGGCGUCUGGGUCGAUACUGACGCUGAGGUGCGAAAGCGUGGGGAGCAAACAGG